rnacentral:rRNA from 1 species
UACGGGGGGAGCAAGCGUUGUUCGGAUUUACUGGGCGUAAAGGGCGCGUAGGCGGUCAGCACAAGUCAGUUGUGAAAUCUCCGGGCUUAACUCGGAAAGGUCAACUGAUACUGUGCGACUAGAGUGCAGAAGGGGCAACUGGAAUUCUCGGUGUAGCGGUGAAAUGCGUAGAUAUCGAGAGGAACACCUGCGGCGAAGGCGGGUUGCUGGGCCGACACUGACGCUGAUGCGCGAAAGUCAGGGGAGCGAACGGG